rnacentral:rRNA from 1 species
GACGAACGCUGGCGGCGUGCCUAAUACAUGCAAGUGGGACGCAAGGGAACACACUGUGCUUGCACACCGUGUUUUCUUGAGUCGCGAACGGGUGAGUAACGCGUAGGUAACCUGCCUAUUAGCGGGGGAUAACUAUUGGAAACGAUAGCUAAUACCGCAUAAUAUUAAUUAUUGCAUGAUAAUUGAUUGAAAGAUGCAAGCGCAUCACUAGUAGAUGGACCUGCGUUGUAUUAGCUAGUUGGUAAGGUAAGAGCUUACCAAGGCGACGAUACAUAGCCGACCUGAGAGGGUGAUCGGCCACACUGGGACUGAGACACGGCCCAGACUCCUACGGGAGGCAGCAGUAGGGAAUCUUCGGCAAUGGACGAAAGUCUGACCGAGCAACGCCGCGUGAGUGAAGAAGGUUUUCGGAUCGUAAAGCUCUGUUGUAAGUCAAGAACGUGUGUGAGAGUGGAAAGUUCACACAGUGACGGAGCUACCAGAAAGGCG